rnacentral:rRNA from 1 species
CUAAGAAUAUUCCGCAAUGGACGGAAGUCUGACGGAGCGACGCCGCGUGGAUGACGAAGGCCGAAAGGUUGUAAAGUUCUUUUGCUGGGGAAGAAUAACCGCAGGAGGGAAUGCCUGUGGGAUGACAAGAACCGGCGAAUAAGCCCCGGCCAACUACGUGCCAGCAGCCGCGGUAACACGUAGGGGGGCGAGCGUUGUUCGGAAUUACUGGGCGUAAAGGGCAUGUAGGCGGCUUGGAAAGCCUGGCGUGAAAGUCUGCAGCUUAACUGCAGGGGUGCGCUGGGAACUGCUGAGCUUGAGUGUCGGAGAGGGAGCUGGAAUUCCUGGUGUAGGGGUGAAAUCUGUAGAUAUCAGGAAGAACACCGAUGGCGAAGGCAAGCUCCUGGCCGAUGACUGACGCUGAGGUGCGAAAGUGUGGGGAUCAAACAGGAUUAGAUACCCUGGUAGUCCACACAGUCAACGAUGUGCACUAGGUGCUGGGGCGGUAGCUUCGGUGCCGGAGCGAACGUGGUAAGUGCACCGCCUGGGGAGUAUGCUCGCAAGGGUGAAACUCAAAUGAAUUGACGGGGGUCAUAGCUGUUU